rnacentral:rRNA from 1 species
AGCUUUAGGAAAAUAUCUAAGGUUAAACCUGCCCAAUGUUUUCUAUUAAUGGCCGCGGUACUUUGACCGUGCUAAGGUAGCGCAAUCAAUUGGCUCUUAAUUGGAGUCGGGUAUGAAUGGAAUAACGGAGUUCGUCUGUCUCUAAAUUAAUAAUUUGAAAUUACUAUAUAGGUGAAAAAGCCUAUAAUAAGAAAAAGGACGAGAAGACCCUUAGAGUUUUACUUAAAUAGAAUAUAUGAUAGGUAUUCGGGAUGGUUUGGUUGGGGCAACAUAGGAGCAUUAAGCUAAUCUCCAAAAUAUAAUUAACCGAUUGUUUUAAACUUGGAUAAACUACCUUAGGGAUAACAGCAUAAUUUAAAAAGUAAGUUUGUGACCUCGAUGUUGGGCUAGGAAAUCUAAAGGCUAGCCGUUUUUAGAGAGAGUUCUGUUCGAACUAUAAUUCCU